UGUCUCAAGGAAUAUAUAUGUUCCACAACUAUGUUGACACAGUAGGUUGAACUGAGGUGAAAGACUGUAUUUUAAGCCGACAUAUUUAGUCGCUUUGUUUUAAAAUAAAAGAGACGUUCAAGAUGAAAACAAUGUAUUGUGUAGUGUUAUUGGUUGUUGUAAUGUUGGCUGUAACUACAACUAAUGCUGUUGAGUGUCAAGGUGAACAAAAUGGAUGCCCUCUUGUUCCGGAUGCAGUGUGCAGAUUUGAAUGUGACACCGUAGAUGGUCAGGUAUCCUGUAACAACAAUUGGUAUAAAGACGACAUUCAAGUUGGGUGCUGGGCAUUUUAAUAACAUAUUAAAUCCUGACCAAUUUGAUGAACAGCAAUGUAUGAAAUCAAAUAUAUAAACUAAAAAAUCUAAAGAACAACUGUUGGUCUAAAAUUAUUCGAAUCCAUAAAAUUAUAACUAUUAUAUCCUUUUGGUAGUUGAUAAUUGUGUCUAUUGGCUUCCUGUCGCCAUUUUUAAUUGUUUUAGUCUGCCAAAAAUAUAAAACUGGCAUAAACAGCAUCAAUUGCAUAUAAUAUAAUGAUUUUUGGGAGGCUUGAAAACGAUUGUUAUAACGGCUUUACAGAUCAAAUAUUUUGACUAUUAAGGUGAUGGAGUGCUUUAAAUAUUAUUAUCUUUCAAAUGAAGUACAAUUUUAAAACAUGUUUAUAAGUAGUUUAUUGAGAAGUAAAUUUAUUUCGAAUGGAAAUAAUAAAGAACAAUUAACAGAUUU